GAUAACUUUCCUUCAUGACUAAUUCGUCUUCAACCUUCAACUUGGUCAAAAUUUCUUCAUUGCUUUCUUCAACAUACAUUUGAAUGUAGAGGUGUUGAUAUCCUACCAUGUAUGGGGUAACGGGGAUUGGAAGGGAUAACUUUCCUUCAUGACUAAUUCGUCUUCAACCUUCAACUUGGUCAAAAUUUCUUCAUUGCUUUCUUCAACAUACAUUUGAAUGUAGAGAGUAAUUAAAUCCUAGUUAAAUCCUAGGCACCAGACGAGCUUAUAGUACUUAUGCCAGGAGAUAUAAGUGGUCUGUUGUCUUUGUGUAUGUAGCCCACUAUCAGAAGGAUACCGUAUCCAUUUUUCUGAAUGUUAGUCAUGAAAGUACUGAGUUGGGUAAUUGA
rnacentral:lncRNA from 1 species